CCUUACAGAAACUUACUUUUCUACUCUGAUGCUUUUGCAAAUAAAUGUUCCUACAAAAGUGCUUCUUCAUCUUCCAGACGACUCAUGGGAAGGACUCUAACAAGUACAAGUUUCUGAUAACUUCCAGACCACACCACUGAGUAAGAAUUGGCAGAGCUCUAAGGGAAAGACUGACAGUUUCAUAAAACUAACAAAAGAUCAAGAUCAACAAGAAUUAGUUACAUUGGACUGAAUGAACUGAUAGAGAUGAUUUUGUAAUUUUUAUGACUUUUGUUUGAAACACUGUGGUGUUGUUUUUCUAGAGUUAGGAAAAUCUGUCUUUUCUGUUAAACUAUCAUUACUUUGGUAAAAUGUACCUUUGUAAACAAAGAUGAAACAUUUAUCUUUUCUCCUUAUCUGAUUCCUCCAGAAUUUGGAAACUGCAUUCUUAUUUUCAUGGAGAUACAGUUAUUUGCUUAAGUUCAAUAGGAAUCUGUUCUCCUUGCAACAGGACACAAUUGGAAACAUUGGUUAUAUGACCAAGACUUUGAUGAAAUGUCAUAUUUGAGAAUAUGCAUAAAAUCAGAUGUGAGAAGAUAGUUUGAAGGAACUAAAGUUGACUUAUGGAGCCAAAAAAGUCCCUGGGAACAAAGAGCCUGGCACCUUGCUUACAGAGUUCUCAGCAACCUUAGCAGGUGAGUAAGGCAGGUCACUUCCUGGCAGGCCCAGGAACUUCAAGAUAUCCUGGGGACCUCAUGAAGAGAAGAAUUCACCCAAACAGAUAGGUAUUGCAAGUGAAGUCUGAUGGUGAGUUCUUGGCAUGGCUUCUUAGCCUGGAGAGGCUAUAAAAGUCCUAUCUAAGACUCCCUCUGAAAAGUUCCAGAAAAGCAGAUUUUUAAAAGGUCUAAUGUGGUCAAUCGCUAUUCUUGCUGCACUUAUGUAAAUAAUCAGGCCAACUUUAAUAAGAUUAGAUUUAUUACGCAAACAAAUUAGUCUUACUGUAAUUAUCUUUAUUAGAAAUAGGGGCGCCUGGGUGGCUCAGUCAGUUAAGUGCCCGACUUUGGCUCAGCUCACGAUCUCACUGUUUGUGAGUUCGAGUCCCGUGUCGGGCUCGAACAGCUCAGAACCUGGAGCCUGUUUCAGAUUCUGUGUCUCCCUCUCUCACUGUCCCUCCCCCACUCACACUCUGUCUGUCUCUCUCUCUCUCAAAAAUAAAUGUUAAAAAAAAUAUUUUUUAAAGAAAUGAGGGUGAUGUAGAACAAACACUGUGUUUCAGUAGAGGAUUAUAACACAACCUAUAGAUAUCAGAUUCGACUCCUGUUCAUUGUCUUUGAGGUUUUAUUUUAUAUAUAUAUUUAUAUAUUUAUAUAUAAAUAUAUAAAUAAAAUAUAAAUUAUAAAAUUUUAUAAAAUUUAUAAAUUAUAAAAUAUAAAAUCUAAAUUAUAUAUAUUUAUAUAUAUUUAUAUAUAUAUGUAUAUAUAUACUUAAAAUAUCCCCUGUUUUCUCCCACCCUUCUUUUUUUUUUUUUUUUUUUUUUUUUUUUUUUCAACGUUUAUUUAUUUUUGGGACAGAGAGAGACAGAGCAUGAACGGGGGAGGGGCAGAGAGAGAGGGAGACACAGAAUCCGAAACAGGCUCCAGGCUCUGAGCCAUCAGCCCAGAGCCCGACGCGGGGCUCGACGCGGGGCUCGAACUCCCGGACCGCGAGAUCGUGACCUGGCUGAAGUCGGACGCUUAACCAACUGCGCCACCCAGGCGCCCCUCUCCCACCCUUCUGAUUUGGAUCACAGAGGCUGCCCUUGAAGCGCCUUAUAAGGGACCAUACCUCAGGCUCUCCCCACAACCCAACAGCAGCCGUACUUUAGUGAUUUGAACCUUGGGUCCCAUCCCCCAAAUGUAAGGGACUCAUUUAGACACUUGGAUCUGCAUACCAGCUGGAGAUCUUAAAUUAAAAUUAACUAGGGAGGUUCCUUCCCAGAAUUAGACAACAUCUUGAGACAGACAGCUCUCCCAAGGUCGUGAAUCAAGGUUUUCAACCCCAAUAUGAAACUUUUACUCCUUUCGCCUUUUUGCUCCUUGCUUCCUCUCCGUGUUAACGCACAGGAAGGCAACGCUCCUUCAUUCUGGCGGCUGUCACUGAAUCUACUGCUGAGUCCACAGCUGUACAACCAAAGUCCCCAAACACUCUUGCUAAGGUGGGUUUUUCUUAAUGUUUAUUUAUUUAUUUUGACAGAGAGAGGGAGAGAGAGCACGCACACAAGUCGGGGGGGGGGGGGGGCAGAGGAGGAGAGGGAGAAAGAGUCCCAAGCAGGCUCUGCUCUGUCUGCGGGGAGCCUGAUGCGGGGCUCGAUCCCAAGAACCAGGAGAUCACGACCUGCGCCGGAAUCCACAGUGGGAAGCUUAACCCACUGGGCAACCGAGUUGGUCACCCAGGUGCCCCAAGGUGGUUUUGGAUAACAGAAUUGCUUUAUGUUACUUACUGGAUGAACAAAGAGGAAGCUGGAUCAUUGUACCUGGACCAUUACCUCCGGUACUGCAACACAUACAAGAAAUUAACAAGUCCCUUGGUUAAAACAGGUUGAUGACCCCCACCCCGUGUACAUUCUUUGAUUUGUUUGAUAUCAGCUGGGUGGUUCAUGGAGGCCCUGGCUAAGGGGGAAACUUCAGUCUCUUGGUACCAGCCUCCCAACAGUCAUCACUGGAGUCUCCCUGGAGCACCAGCUUCUCUCCAAGGUCCUAAAUGCAUGUUCACAGCCAUCCACAGUAUAUCACAUGGUCUCUCUGAGCGUGGAGAAAUAGAAAAAAGGAAGCAGCCAGAUGAACAAGAUGAAAAACAAUUCUUCCACAGAUCUGCCCUCACAACUUAGGAGUGUCACAAGGACACGAGAGCCACUUAACUCUCACGGUGACCGGAGAGUGGCGCCCAUACCAACUUUUUGGUCAAUCUCUCAUGGAUGAGAGGAUGGCCAAAAGAGGGAAAGUGUUUAAUUAAACGAGGACAGUAGACCAAUAAUGCUCUCAGGCCGUGGCAGCCUACAUAAAAAGCAAACCAAAACCCAAGGCUCUAAAUGCCUCAAAGUUACAAAAUCAAAAUGCUAAAAGCAACCAAUCAUGAACAGCUAACUAAACUCUAAGCUAUAGCCAAUCAAUU
rnacentral:lncRNA from 1 species